GUGUUUGUGGGGUGCAGGUGCAGGGGGUUUGUUUUGUUUUGUAGGUGCAAUUAGCACUGCUGGCUGGGGAACAACAGAGAGGGGACCGGGGGAUUCAGCAGGUGUUGCUGGUCUAAAACAGAGCAGGGUGUAUUCUUUGCUGUUGCAAGAUAUG
rnacentral:SRP_RNA from 16 species